rnacentral:rRNA from 1 species
GAACGACUCUCGGCAACGGAUAUCUCGGCUCUCGCAUCGAUGAAGAACGUAGCGAAAUGCGAUACUUGGUGUGAAUUGCAGAAUCCCGUGAACCAUCGAGUUUUUGAACGCAAGUUGCGCCCUAGGCCGUUAGGUCGAGGGCACGUCUGCCUGGGCGUCAAGCAUCGCGU